AAUAAAGUGCCUGAUAAAAAGGAUUAUUCUGAUAGGAUAAAUAAUGUAAUUGUUUUACCUUUAUUA
rnacentral:tRNA from 1 species